CUUUACAGGGUUCCUGAAAGGGUAGAAGAAAAUACAGUAGCCUAGGUUGUCAGAUUCUUCAUCAAUCUCAGAAAAGAUAAUAAAAAAGAAGACAUCAAGUUCAUGUUUGGCUAUAGGGAGAGCAAGUAACUUUCAGGGAAAAAAAAAAUUAUACCAGUACAUCAGGGCAGGGCUCAAGACCUUACAGUGGAAGAGUUAUGCUCUCCAUAAACAAUAUGACCUUCCAGGAGAGAAGAAAGAAUAGCGAUGACGACUGAAGACAUCAAUUCUUCAAAUAGAUACUUCGUGUCUGUAGAACGCAGGUCUCCUAUUUCCUAGUUUGUGUUUCUUCCAAUAAACUCCUUGAAAGCUC
rnacentral:lncRNA from 1 species